rnacentral:tRNA from 1 species
UAAGUGGGAAGUUUAAAUAAAAACGUCUAAUUUACACUUAGAAGAUCUUAAUUAAAUAAGCUCGCUUAU